AGUGAACGCUGGCGGUAGGCCUAACACAUGCAAGUCGAACGGCAGCACAGUAAGAGUUUGCUCUUACGGGUGGCGAGUGGCGGACGGGUGAGGAAUACAUCGGAAUCUUCUUUUUCGUGGGGGAUAACGGAGGGAAACUUACGCUAAUACCGCAUACGAUCUACGGGUGAAAGCAGUGGAUCUUCGGACCUUUCGCGAUUGAUUGAGCCGAUGUCGGAUUAGCUAGUUGGCGGGGUAAAGGCCCACCAAGGCGACGAUCCGUAGCUGGUCUGAGAGGAUGAUCGGCCACACUGGAACUGAGACACGGUCCAGACUCCUACGGGAGGCAGCAGUGGGGAAUAUUGGACAAUGGGCGAAAGCCUGAUCCAGCCAUACCGCGUGGGUGAAGAAGGCCUUCGGGUUGUAAAGCCCUUUUGUUGGGAAAGAAAAGCAGCAGGUUAAUACCCCGCUGUUCUGACGGUACCCAAAGAAUAAGCACCGGCUAACUUCGUG
rnacentral:rRNA from 1 species